CUCACAGCUGCCCUUCUUCUCUCUCUUAGAAGGAAGAGGAAGAGGGGGAAUCAAACACAGUAUUUUGGUUACCAUCAAACAGAAGUCUCCACAGAGAGGAGGCUAUCUUCAGAUUUUACGUUAUAUAAGACACCUCCCUUUCAUUUCCAGAGAUGAUUUUUAAACUAUGACAAGCUGAUUUAAAGUUUGCAUGCUGUGGACAGGCUACUAUAUUUAAUGUAGUUAUGGGCCUUUGAUUUUAUAACUGUUUGUGUGAGAUUUACAUAAACUCUGGUGCUUAGAUUCUUCAUCUUUAGUAUGGCCUGUCUGACCAAGCACAAUGGAUACAAACAGGAAUGAAAUGGACAUGUGGAGCUCAGAGGACAGCAUUUUGACUCAGACAGUUUCAAACUGUGGAAAAUGAAAUCAAGAGCUGAAAUAUGAGUCUGGUGGUCUUAUAGAAAAACUACGUGCAACUAAGGAAGCUAAUUUUAAAGAGAUGAAUUAUACCUUGAAUCUGUAAGGACAUUUUAUUAUGUUCAAGACAAUUUGAAAUAUGAUGAAGAUUUUCGAUUGAUUUUACAAUAUAUUUUGCCAUUCUGCU
ensembl:antisense Gm13763 predicted gene 13763